rnacentral:rRNA from 1 species
AUUGAACGCUGGCGGCAUGCUUUACACAUGCAAGUCGAACGGUAACAGGCCGCAAGGUGCUGACGAGUGGCGAACGGGUGAGUAAUGCAUCGGAACGUGCCCAGUCGUGGGGGAUAACUACUCGAAAGAGUAGCUAAUACCGCAUACGAUCUAUGGAUGAAAGCGGGGGACCGUAAGGCCUCGUGCGAUUGGAGCGGCCGAUGUCAGAUUAUGUAGUUGGUGGGGUAAAGGCUCACCAAGCCAACGAUCUGUAGCUGGUCUGAGAGGACGACCAGCCACACUGGGACUGAGACACGGCCCAGACUCCUACGGGAGGCAGCAGUGGGGAAUUUUGGACAAUGGGCGCAAGCCUGAUCCAGCAAUGCCGCGUGGAGGAAGAAGGCCUUCGGGUUGUAAACUGCUUUUGUACGGAACGAAACGGCUCUGGUUAAUACCCGGCGCUAAUGACGGUACCGUAAGAAUAAGCACCGGCUAACUACGUG